GACGUGAGGCGCGAGCGUUGUCCGGAUUAUUGGGCGUAAAGAGCUCGUAGGCGGCUUGUCGCGUCGGACUGUGAAAUCCCGCGGCUCAACUGCGGGUCUGCAGUCGAUACGGGCAGGCUAGAGUUCGGUAGGGGAGACUGGAAUUCCUGGUGUAGCGGUGAAAUGCGCAGAUAUCAGGAGGAACACCGGUGGCGAAGGCGGCCAACUGGUCCGGAUCUGACGC
rnacentral:rRNA from 1 species